UACGUAGGUGACCAGCGUUGUCCGGAUUUACUGGGCGUAAAGAGCGCGCAGGCGGUCGUUCAAGUCGAGUGUGAAAGCCCCCGGCUCAACUGGGGAGGGUCACUCGAUACUGAUCGACUUGAAGGCAGGAGAGGGAAGCGGAAUUUCCGGUGUAGCGGUGAAAUGCGUAGAUAUCGGAAGGAACAUCAGUGGCGAAAGCGGCUUCCUGGACCAGUACCGACGUCAGGCACGAAAGCGUGGGGAGCAAACAGG
rnacentral:rRNA from 1 species